rnacentral:rRNA from 1 species
UACAGAGGGUGCGAGCGUUAAUCGGAUUUACUGGGCGUAAAGGGCACGUAGGCGGUGAGAUGGGUGUGAUGUGAAAGCCCUGGGCUUAACCUGGGAAGUGCAUCGCAAACUAUCUGACUGGAGUAUAUGAGAGGGUGGCGGAAUUUCCGGUGUAGCGGUGAAAUGCGUAGAGAUCCGGAAGAACACCGGUGGCGAAGGCGGCCCGCUGGGCAGAGACUGACGCUGAGGCGCGACAGCGUGGGGAGCAAACAGG